UGGACGAAAGUCUGACGGAGCAACGCCGCGUGAGUGAAGAAGGUUUUCGGAUCGUAAAGCUCUGUCUUUGAGGACGAAUGUGUCUAAUGUGAAUAAUGUUAGAUAAUGACGGUACUCGAGGAGGAAGCCACGGCUAACUACGUGCCAGCAGCCGCGGUAAUACGUAGGUGGCAAGCGUUGUCCGGAAUUAUUGGGCGUAAAGCGCGCGCAGGCGGGAUAUUAAGUCUGUUUUAAAAGUUCGGGGCUCAACCCCGUGAUGGAAUGGAAACUAAUAUUCUUGAGUGCAGGAGAGGAAAGUGGAAUUCCCAGUGUAGCGGUGAAAUGCGUAGAUAUUGGGAGGAACACCAGUGGCGAAGGCGACUUUCUGGACUGUGUCUGACGCUGAGGCGCGAAAGCCAGGGGAGUGAACGGGAUUAGAUACCCCGGUAAUCCUGGCCGUAAACGAUGGGUACUAGGUGUAGGAGGUAUCGACCCCUUCUGUGCCGGAGUUAACGCAAUAAGUACCCCGCCUGGGGAGUA
rnacentral:rRNA from 1 species